rnacentral:rRNA from 1 species
UAGGGAAUCUUCGGCAAUGGGGGGCAACCCUGACCGAGCAACGCCGCGUGAGUGAAGAAGGUUUUCGGNUCGUAAAGCUCUGUUGUAAGAGAAGAACGUGUGUGAGAGUGGAAAGUUUCACACAGUGACGGUAACUUACCAGAAAGGGACGGCUAACUACGUGCCAG